UUGAUGAGUGAGGGGGAGGCGAAAGAUGCAUAAUUACGUAAUCAUUGUGAAUGAAGAACAGUGCUGGUCUUUCUAUUGUAUUGAUCGUUUCUAAUUCCACCGAACAAAAAUAUGAACGCAACAUGCAACAAUUUCAAAGAUAUUACUGAGUUACAGUUCAUAUAAGGAAAUCAGUCAAUUUAAAUAAAUUAUUUAAGGCCUAAUCAAUGGAUUUCACAUGACUGGGAAUACAGAUAUGCAUCUGUUGGUCACAGAUACAGGGUCAGUUAAUACCAUACUACAUACAGGGUCAGUUAAUACCAUACUAUAUACGGGGUCAGUUAAUACCAUACUAUAUACAGGGUCAGUUAAUACCAUACUAUAUACAGAAUCAGUUAAUACCAUACUAUAUACAGGGUCAGAUAAUACCAUACUAUAUACAGGGUCAGUUAAUACCAUACUAUAUACAGGGUCAGUUCAUACCAUACUAUAUACAGGGUCAGUUAAUACCAUACUAUAUACAGUUAAUACCAUACUAUAUACAGGGUCAGUUCAUACCAUACUAUAUACAGGGUCAGUUCAUACCAUACUAUAUACAGGGUCAGUUCAUACCAUACUAUAUACAGGAUCAGUUGAUACCAUACUAUAUACAGGAUCAGUUAAUACCAUACUAUAUACAGGGUCAGUUAAUACCAUACUAUAUACAGGAUCAGUUGAUACCAUACUAUAUACAGGGUCAGUUAAUACCAUACUAUAUACAGGAUCAGUUGAUACCAUACUAUAUACAGGGUCAGUUAAUACCAUACUAUAUACAGGAUCAGUUAAUACCAUAUUAUAUAGAGGAUCAGUUAUUACCAUACUAUAUACAGUUAAUAACAUACUAUAUACAGGGUCAGUUAAUACCAUACUAUGUGCAGGGUCAGUUCAAUACCAUAUUGACAAUAUGCAGGGAUACUGGAGUGAUGGAGGUAGAUAUGUAUAGGGGUAAGGUGACUAUAUACAGGAUAUAAAAUAAACAGAGUAGCAGCAGCUUGUAUGUAAGUGGGUGUGCGUGUGUUUAGUAAAAGGUCAAUAAAGAUACAAGAUUAACUCAGAUAGUCCAUGUAGCUAUUUUGGUAACUAUAUAUCAGUCGUAUUGCUUGGGGAUAAAAGCUGUUCAAGAGCCUGUUAGUGUCAGACUUGAUGCACCGGUACCGCCUGCCGUGUGAAAACAGAGAGAAUAGUCCACGGCUUGGGUGGUUGGAGUCUUUAACGAUUUUCCGGGCCUUCCUUCCACACCGCCUUAUAUUGAUGUCCUGGAUGGCAGGGAGCUCAGCCCCAGUGAUGUACUGGGCUGUCCGCACCACCCUGUUUAGCACCAUGCGAUCGAGGGCGGUGCUAUUGCCAUACCAGGCAGUGAUGCAGCCAGUCAAAUGCUCUCAAUGGUACAGCUGUAGAACUUUCUGAGGAUUUGUGUGCCCAUGACAAACUUUUUCAAUCUCCCGAGGGGGAAGAGGUGCUGUUGCCCCUUCUUCACUACUGUGUGUGUGUGUGUGUUUGGACCAUUUGGAGUCGUGUGUGGCCACGCAGUCGUGGGUGAACAGGGAGUACAGGAGGGGAAUAAGCACACACCCUUGUGGAGCCCCUGUGUUGAGGGUCAGCGUUGGGGAGGUGAUGUUGCCUACCCUCACCACCUGUGGUCAGCACGUCAGGAAGUCCAGGAUCCAGUUGCAGAGGGAGGUGUUCAGACCCAGAGUCCUAAGCUCGGUGACGAGCUUUGAGGGGACAAUGGUGUUGAAAGCUGAGCUGUAGUCAAUGAACAACAUUCUC
rnacentral:lncRNA from 1 species